rnacentral:rRNA from 1 species
GAUGAACGCUGGCGGCGUGCCUAAUACAUGCAAGUCGAGCGAACAGACGAGGAGCUUGCUCCUCUGACGUUAGCGGCGGACGGGUGAGUAACACGUGGAUAACCUACCUAUAAGACUGGGAUAACUUCGGGAAACCGGAGCUAAUACCGGAUAAUAUAUUGAACCGCAUGGUUCAAUAGUGAAAGACGGUUUUGCUGUCACUUAUAGAUGGAUCCGCGCCGCAUUAGCUAGUUGGUAAGGUAACGGCUUACCAAGGCAACGAUGCGUAGCCGACCUGAGAGGGUGAUCGCCCACACUGGAACUGGGACACGGACCAGACGCCUACGGGAGGCAGCAGUAGGGAAUCGUCCGCAAUGGGCGAAAGCCUGACGGAGCAACGCCGCGUGAGUGAUGAAGGUCUUCGGAUCGUAAAGCUCUGUUAUUAGGGAUGAACAAAUGUGUAAGUAACUAUGCACGUCUUGACGGUACCUAAUCAGAAAGCCACGGCUAACUACGUG